GGCCUGCGCGGGCCAGUCAGCGCGCGGGGGCGGUGCGGGCCGACGUCGGCGGCUGGGGGCAGCGGGCCGGGGGCCGGGGGAGGGGCAGCCGGCGGCCGUGGGUUCGCGUGCAAGGCGCGCCGUGAGGCCCACUCUGGCCCAGGCCCCUCGAGGCCUGCCCGCUGCUCCCUGCCCGCUCCCCGACCCCGCACUCCCGGACUCCCGAGCCCCCCAGGGUGGGGAACGCUGGCAACGCCGACCCUGCUGUCUGCUCGCGGCCCAGCGCCCAGCCAGAGAGAUAGAGAGCCCACAGGCCUCCGCCGCGCCGGCCGAUGGAGUUUCUUUGUCGCAGGAAACCACAGCGGCAGCGCGGUGCAGCUUCCCACGCCCGCCCUUCGAGCUUGUUCCCCAGCGGCGCAGCUCAGCCUCCUCCAAGUCUCAGCCUCAUACCGGCGGGGAGACAAAGCUGGCGCUGGGAGUGGGAAAAGGGCCCGCGAAAUGGCCUCAAGAUCGUGCCUUUGUUAGAAGAAACAUGGGUACGCUCCGAUGCGACGCAGGCUUCCAACCCCAGCGGUUCGGUGGUGGUGCAGUCGUUGAAUUGCGCUGGCCCUAAUAAUUCAGCCUGGCAGGGUUCGCGUUUAUUGCGGAGAGAGACUCUUAAGCAUUCUGUCAACACAUAUGGCAAAUAGAAAGCCUCAACCAUAACAUUGCACAGUUUUUGCAGUUCUUGCUUUAAAUAUGUUCACAGAAAAGACGGCCUUGUUUUACCCAGAGAAGGAGCGUAAUGCGGAGCGAACCAUUCGUCACCCCCAUUCUCUGCUGCACUUAACUGUGUAC
rnacentral:lncRNA from 1 species